CUUCCGCUCUUUUUCACUCUCGUUGUGCACUUCGCUAGAGCACCGAACAUAUACCGACGCUCAACCCAUCUCGCUGCUGUCCUCUUUCAUCUUCUCACCAUUAAAUGUGUGCUUCUUCUUGACUAAUCCUGACACUGUUGGCGUUUGAUGCUGCUGCACAUCGUUGGCUUCCCUUGCAAUUGUCGACGGUGGCCGAAAGUGCCGCCACGCUUCCCCUCUUGUUUUCUUAACUUGUUUAGGGUUGAAUUGAAUUGGGUUUAAGAGGUUUAAGGUAUAUGUCUAGAACUCCCUGAGACCCACUAACAGAGGAGCUCAACUGGAUUAUUUGUAAGUUUGUCGUCGUUUUUCUUGAUAAUUAUUUUUGAGGAGUAGAAAUGGAGACCAUGGGGUGUGUUUGGCCAUUGCAGAGGAUCAGAAUCUUGCCGAUAACCACUAAUAUUGAACUGAGAUCUGAAGUUGAGACUAAAAUUGUGUGGUAUAGAGAGUGUAAUAUGUUAUACCCUGGCACUGGUUGCUGAACGUUUGAAACUCUUUCUAUUUGGAGAUGACAGGAUCAAGAAAGUUAUGUAUAUCAUAGUUCAGAUCUAGUGAGAAAGAUAGAGCCAAGAUAUAGUUCCUUCAUUGUGGCCUGCUGGUGAAUGAUUUUUUUUGGAAACAUCCUCUAACUACAGAAGAUCUACAGCAGAUCUAUUGCUUUUGAGUUCUAAUUUUUUUUUUUUUUGACAGACUAGAUUUGUUAUCAUAUAAAAGACUUUGAAGUUUUUUUUUUCCUUACUGCAGGAUGAUGGAAAUAAUGGCGGAUUAGAGUAGCAAACAUGCAUGAUACAUCGGGAAGCAUGCCUACAUGGAUAAUGGAAUUGAAGAAUAAUGAAAGAAUGACCUUAAGAUUGCUUUAGGUUUAUUUAAGGAGAGAUAUAUAUAUUAUGAUUUUAUGAUUUAAUUUUUAGAUUAACUAUUUAUAUUUUGGAUGCAAUAGUAUGUUUUCGAUUAAGUAUACUCUUUGGCUCAUUUUUUACAAUGGUCGUUGAGUAUUUCUACUCAUUUAUAUCAAUAAUAUCAUUUUAUUUCCUCUUCAA